rnacentral:rRNA from 1 species
GACGAACGCUGGCGGCGUGCCUAACACAUGCAAGUCGAACGAAGUGGCGAACGGGUGAGUAACGCGUAAUCAACCUGCCCUUCAGAGGGGGACAACAGGUGGAAACGACUACUAAUCCCGCAUACUGAAGUAGGGGAUUGCGUGUGAUUAGCUAGUUGGAGGGGUAACGGCGCACCAAGGCGAUGAUCAGUAGCCGGUCUGGGAGGGUGAACGGCCACACUGGGACUGAGACACGGCCCAGACUCCUACGGGAGGCAGCAGUGGGGAAUCUUCCGCAAUGGACGGAAGUCUGACGGAGCAACGCCGCGUGAGUGAUGACGGCCUUCGGGUUGUAAAGCUCUGUUAUUAGGGACGCGGUACCGGAAUAGAAAGCCACGGCUAACUACGUGCCAGCAGCCGCGGUAAUAC